rnacentral:rRNA from 1 species
GAUGAACGCUGGCGGCGUGCCUAAUACAUGCAAGUCGAGCGAACGGACGAGAAGCUUGCUUCUCUGAUGUUAGCGGCGGACGGGUGAGUAACACGUGGAUAACCUACCUAUAAGACUGGGAUAACUUCGGGAAACCGGAGCUAAUACCGGAUGAUAUUUCGAACCGCAUGGUUCAAAAGUGAAAGACGGUCUUGCUGUCACUUAUAGAUGGAUCCGCGCUGCAUUAGCUAGUUGGUAAGGUAACGGCUUACCAAGGCAACGAUGCAUAGCCGACCUGAGAGGGUGAUCGGCCACACUGGAACUGAGACACGGUCCAGACUCCUACGGGAGGCAGCAGUAGGGAAUCUUCCGCAAUGGGCGAAAGCCUGACGGAGCAACGCCGCGUGAGUGAUGAAGGUCUUCGGAUCGUAAAACUCUGUUAUUAGGGAAGAACAGAUGUGUAAGUAACUGUGCACAUCUUGACGGUACCUAAUCAGAAAGCCACGGCUAACUCCGUG